GAACGAACGCUGGCGGCAGGCCUAACACAUGCAAGUCGAACGCCCUAGCAAUAGGGAGUGGCAGACGGGUGAGUAACACGUGGGAACCUUCCCUAUAGUACGGAAUAGCUCAGGGAAACUUGAAGUAAUACCGUAUACGCCCGAGAGGGGAAAGAUUUAUCGCUAUAGGAUGGGCCCGCGUCGGAUUAGCUAGUUGGUGAGGUAAUGGCUCACCAAGGCGACGAUCCGUAGCUGGUUUGAGAGAACGACCAGCCACACUGGGACUGAGACACGGCCCAGACUCCUACGGGAGGCAGCAGUGGGGAAUAUUGGACAAUGGGCGCAAGCCUGAUCCAGCCAUGCCGCGUGAGUGAUGAAGGCCUUAGGGUUGUAAAGCUCUUUUAGCAGGGAAGAUAAUGACUGUACCUGCAGAAUAAGCUCCGGCUAACUUCGUG
rnacentral:rRNA from 1 species